rnacentral:rRNA from 1 species
GACCUGCGGAAGGAUCAUUACCGAGUUGAUUCGGGCUCCGGCCCGAUCCUCCCACCCUUUGUGUACCCACCUCUGUUGCUUUGGCGGGCCGCGGUCCUCCGCGGCCGCCCUCCGUCCGGGGGGUGGCCAGCGCCCGCCAGAGGACCAUCGAACUCCGGUCAGUGAACGUUGCCGUCUGAAAAACAAUCAAUAAACUAAAACUUUCAACAACGGAUCUCUUGGUUCUGGCAUCGAUGAAGAACGCAGCGAAAUGCGAUAAGUAAUGUGAAUUGCAGAAUUCAGUGAAUCAUCGAAUCUUUGAACGCACAUUGCGCCCCUCGGUAUUCCGAGGGGCAUGCCUGUUCGAGCGUCAUUACAACCCUCAAGCUCUGCUUGGUGUUGGGCACCGCCCUUCCGCGGGCGCGCCUCAAAGACCUCGGCGGUGGCGUCUUGCCUCGAGCGUAGUAGAAAACACCUCGCUUUGGAGCGCACGGCGCCGCCCGCCGGACGAACCUUUUGAACUUUCUCAAGGUUGACCUCGGAUCAGGUAGGGAUACCCGCUGAACUUAAGCAUAUCAGAAGGGACGGGAGGAAA